rnacentral:lncRNA from 1 species
AGGAAAAAAAUCAAGUACAUGGAUUAGCCUAAGGCUUACCUCCACGGAGCAUACAAAGCUUUACUAUAAAAAAAAAUAAGUACAAGAGGAGAUCCUCACACUCUUAAUCCUUAUACACAGUCUCUUUCAACUAGAAGCUACCCUUACAAAGCUUUCAUUAGAAUCCAAGAAAAUCUCUAAACCUCUAGAACGACUAGUGUGUGACAGUCUGCCCGAGGUACCCUAUACCCC